UGAGGAAUAUUGGGCAAUGGAGGCCACUCUGACCCAGCCAUGCCGCGUGCAGGAAGACUGCCCUAUGGGUUGUAAACUGCUUUUAUACAGGAAGAAAUGAUUCUACGAGUUAGGAUUUUGACGGUACUGUAAGAAUAAGCACCGGCUAACUCCGUGCCAGCAGCCGCGGUAAUACGGAGGGUGCAAGCGUUAUCCGGAAUCAUUGGGUUUAAAGGGUCCGCAGGCGGUCAAUUAAGUCAGAGGUGAAAUCCCAUAGCUUAACUAUGGAACUGCCUUUGAUACUAGUUGACUUGAGUUGUAUGGAAGUAGAUAGAAUAAGUAGUGUAGCGGUGAAAUGCAUAGAUAUUACUUAGAAUACCGAUUGCGAAGGCAGUCUACUACGUACACACUGACGCUGAUGGACGAAAGCGUGGGUAGCGAACAGG
rnacentral:rRNA from 1 species